UGUUUAACCUGAGUGAGAGCU
rnacentral:piRNA from 1 species